rnacentral:ncRNA from 2 species
UUUAAUUCUCAGGGCGGGGCGGAAUUCCCCACCGGCGGUAUAUCCAGUUUGGAUCAGCCCGCGAGCGCUCGAUUCGUCGAGGUCAGCAGAUCUGGUGAGAAGCCAGAGCCGACGGUUACAGUCCGGAUGAGAGAGAAUGACA